UACGGGGGGGGCAAGCGUUGUUCGGAAUUACUGGGCGUAAAGGGCUCGUAGGCGGCCAACUAAGUCCGACGUGAAAUCCCCAGGCUUAACCUGGGAACUGCGUCGGAUACUGGAUGGCUUGAAUCCGGGAGAGGGAUGCGGAAUUCCAGGUGUAGCGGAUGAAAUGGCGUAGAAUAUCCGGAGGAACACCGGUGGCGAAGGCGGCUUCCUGGACCGACACUGACGCUGAGGCGCGAAAGCUAGGGGAGCAAACGGG
rnacentral:rRNA from 1 species